AUGGCCCGAGGAUGUUGC
rnacentral:miRNA from 1 species